CCCCUGCUCACCCGCCGCCUUCACGGGCACGACGCUCGCCGCCGCCGCCGCCGCCGCGAGGGCGCAGCACCCCCCGCCGCGCCGCUUCCCGGGCGCGCUCGCCGCCUCCGCAGUCGUCGUCACCGUCGUGGUGGCCAUGUCCGAUGCCUCCACCCGACUCGUGACCUUGCUGGCGGCGCCGUGCCGUGCGCGCUCGUGGGAAACCCCGGCCCGCACGGAAGCCGGGACGACGGACUGGGUAGUUGUUGUCUGUCGCUGUCGCUGGGUGAUUGUGAGUUGUGACCGAGCUGCUCACGCUCACGCC
rnacentral:misc_RNA from 1 species